UUUUCAAUACGACUGACCUAUCUCAGAGGUGAGAGGUGGGUGUCACCGCAUGGUGGUCAGCAUCACUUUGUGGACAGUUUUACCUUUGAAUGCAUUUCUUUGGAGCUGUUUGCCACCAGAAGGGAAUGUUUACUGACAGAAGAUCUGGCCUGCGCAAAUAACUCCAGCUUGGUAAGGGAGACUGGGGGAUGAUACCAUUGUAUCCUGUGAAGUCAAGAUACAAUUUGGCAUCUCCCUGCUCUUAACUGCUGGCAAGGCUGGGGAGAAGGGAAGAAAAAAAAAAAAAAAAAAAAAAGAGUUUCUGCUGAGAUCCAAAGAACAAGAAGCUGUCACUCCAAAAGAGAGCUGACGUUGGACUUACAAAUAAGUUUGUACUGUCAUGGAAAACUUUGUCAUCAUCAUCAAGUGAACAAUAACCUCCAACGACCCAGCACUACUGAAGAUCAAUGUCUGAACUAUGAACCAUGCUGGACCCGCAGUGGUGACUAGCCCUCUCUUGCUUUGUACAAAGACUCCUUGCUUUUCUUUCCUAUCUCUUUUCUAUUACCCGUCUUCCCUUCCCCAUCUCCCUAAGCAAUUAGGAUUUGUAAUAAACUGGUUGGACUAACAUUUAACCCACCGUCUCUUAAUCUUGCCAUUGGAUAUAUAUAUAUUAAAAGAACCUCCUCUCCAUCCUAUAAAUUGGAGCGAGACACAGGGACACACAAGCAGCUUUGAUAUUUGUUUUUUCUGCAGACAAGUAAGAAUCUUUUUUUCCUGUUUACGGUUGCCAGAUUAUACCUCCUAUUUUUAACAUAGUUUGCAAUGAAAAAAAACAAACCAACAAAAAAAGUCGAUGGAAAACAAUAAUUUCCACAUUGAUUAUGAUGAGGGUAAGAUUGUUUUUACAGAGUAAAUAUAAAUUUCCAUCAGCUAGAAUCUAGACUCAGGAGUUGCCCUAUAAUUUUUACUUUAGUAAGAAAACAGAAUUAACUAAGAAUACUUUUGAUUAAAAAGUGUUAAAAUGUUUGUGGUUGGUUUGUUUUCUGUUUGCUUGUUUGUUUGUUUAAUAAUAGUAAUGGUUUUCAAGUGAGUUCUAUCUGAUUUUUCCAGAGUUUGGUACAGAUUCCUGUCUAACACAACACUUUUCUAGACUGGGAAAAAUCAUUAUGCUGGUGAUCAGUGUAAUAUACCUUCCAUUUACUUGUACAACUUUUACUGACACAGAUCCAUAGGAGGACAGAACUAUGUUACUCACGAUACCUGUGAUUAGUGAGCUAACUACUUUUAGCACUGGAGGUGUCAACUUAGUUAUUUACAGUCUUUAAAGAGAUACCUCAUGCAUAGAGAAGGACUUGUAAAAGUCUAAAUCUUGGAAGUUACAGAAUCUCAUCGUAAAACUUUCAUUUUUGUCACAUAGUUCCUUAAAUGCUCCAGACAUAGUCUUUGCCAAGGGCAGGAUAUGCUAAUCAAGCUGAAGAAUGGCAUGGUUAUUGACUAUGCCUUCUAAUAUCGUCAUUUUUUCUGAUUCAGGGAAAGCAGUUAAGUUCAAAAGACAUCCACUUUCGAAAGGCUUGUAUCCUAUUUCCAUCUUCUGCAGGAUUAUUUCUGGAUAAAAUCAGGCAUUCAGAUCACAGAAGCUGCAGAACAUAUUCUACAAAACUGGCAGUGAAUGAUCACUGAGAAUUUCUGCCUUGUUUGUGGACAGUAACUGAAGAGAAUAAAACUCCAAAUGAUCAACGCCGCAUUUCUCAUUAAAUAUCACUGCAAUCCACACAAAUGAAUUAGGGAACAUCUGAAGACUUACUUAAGAGUCAGCUGAAGAGCACUAUAUUAAUAUUAAAAAGAUAGAAAUAUACCCAUUUUUCAUUAAAAUCUUUUCAUUACAAAAUAAAAAUCUACUAUUUCAGUGCUCAUUUUUAAAUUAAAUAAUAAGCUUAUAUUACAAUACUUUGAAAUCAUCUGAGUCACAAUUGAAAAUCUGGCUGUACCGAAGCUUAAUCCACAUUUCUACACAUUAAUGCACUUUCUUUCCGAGAUAUGUCUAAUUCGUUCUGGUGAAAGUUCCUUUUUUUCUAAAAAUGGUUGCAUACCAGUGUAUGGGCCAAAAUGUCAAACCACAACAUCUUUCUAUUUCCCUAGAGAACUGUGUAAUCUAAUUAGAAGCAAUCCUAUAAUUACUUUAUCAAUAACUGAGACCCUUUCCAACUGCUUCUCGCAAAAGCUUCCAAAACAACCUCACCUUCAACAAGUCCUUUGCAGUUAACAGUGUGACAUUGUGUGUGUGUGUUGUCAGACAUCAGAAUGAAAGCAAUAAAAGAGGAGCCACUACCUUGGAGAAGAAAAUUGCAAUGAACUUUUGCCAGCCCUGCUAGGCUAAUGAUGCUGGAUGAAUGUAGGUUCCACGUAUCCCCUUAUAUAUAGCCAAAAGUGAAAAGGAGUCAUUCCCACAAUGUGGAUAGCACAGCCUAUCAGUAUGUGGCUGAAAUGUAAAUAUAAUUAUUUCCUUACACUAUUUUUAUCCGUAAUAGUUUUGUACUUUCUUCUUUCUCUAUUAUUCACAGUUUACAAACACUACUGAGCAAUAUGCUAUCAUUGCUCAAUCUGCUGUAUGCAGCAGUCAGUAUGAAGUUGCACUGGCCCAGACUCCUACUACUGUUCAGUGGUUUAUAUUUAAAAUAAGCUUAAUUUUGAGUUCAUUCAAAUCCAAAGUCCAAGACAAAUAUAGGAAUUGCAAAUGUGCCCAGAUAUGAGAAAAUAAAAUCCACUGAAUUUCACAUCAAUCAAGAACUGGUUGAGAAUUUUGUACCAGUCAGAGAUAACAGACAUUCCUUAAACCAAGUUAAUCCAUACUUUUUAUUUAAUAUGAAUAUUUAUAAUAAAUGCAAUUCUAGAUCUGCCUCUAGCUGAUAUUUUCAUGCACAUUUCCAUAGCUUUCACUUUUAACUUCACUGCAAAUGUUGAUAUACAUUUGUAGGAGAAUAAUUUAGAGCUGACAGUGAUUCUGUACACCGAUUUUCAUUCAUAGUUCAUCUACUUGAGUUUAGUAUUCUACAUACAACCUUGCUGAGGUGCCUCUAGCUAUUUUAUUCAUUUGUAAACUUCUCAAGAACAUGACAAAGAUGACAGCAAUUGCUUGUAUUUCUGUACACUGCUCAGAUAUUUUUGCUCAAUUAGUUUUCAGGAAACAGUGUGUCCUUUAUUUUUCUCUCCAUGUUUUUCUCUUUUGUCUUCUGUCCUUUCUAGUUUUCUCUUCUAUCUCUUUCAAGAUGUGUAGGUUAGUCCUUAAAAUAACCUUAAAGUCUGUGAUGGAACUGUAGGUUUUGAAGUCAUUUACAAAGGAAAGAAUACCGAGACAUUUUCCCCGGCCAAGUCUUAUCUUCAUCCAGUAUCACUUUAAUAAUUCUCCUUUCCCCUUUUUCUUUUCCUUGCUGUCAUCUUCUACAUGUUGUAAAAGUGACUUCAGAAGAACUUUUCAUAUAAUUAAUUCAUUAUGGUGGUUUUUAAUAUGCAGCAUAGCCAGUGCUCUCAGAGCUUUGAUUUUUCUGGUUCCUGCAUUUUAUUUCUUAGUUCCUUUUACAUGUUUCACCAUGAUAUUUAAAUAUAUAUUUUAAAAAUAAUCCACUUAAAAUUAAAUACCUAGGAUAUGCUUUAUUUUACUAACAUAUCCUAUCCAGAUUAGCUACACAUGAAGUCCUCCUUAUUAUUGCAGCCAAAUCUGUUUUCAUUUAUCUUGGGCAAAGUUGUCGUGUUUAACAUAAUCAUAGAAUUAUAGAAUCACCAAGAUUGGAAAAGACCUCCAAGAGCAUCCAGUCCAACCAUCCAUCUACCACCAAUAUUUCUCCACUAAACUGUGUCCCUCAGUACAAUAAACAGAAAAUUUUACUACCACUAGCACUUUUUUCUUUUCUUGAAUGUCAAUGGAAAUGCUGUGUACAGUGGUGUUUAGAGCACAAUUUUGCUGCCAUUUACCAUCUUUUCCACUUUCUGGUGGUGUUCUUCAGCAAGCUCUCUGUCUACCAUAACAUUUGUUCUUGCAUCAAAGCCAGACAAGAAGUGUACUUGAUGAUCCAUGUGCAAUGUUAUUUUUUUAAAGCAAUGGACUAAGUCUAGAUACCCGAAGCUCUAAUCUUCAUCAUUUAUCAAAUGUUUUGCUUGAUAUCAAAUAUUUUGCUUGAUAUCAAAAAGGAAGCUAAGCAGUUGACUACAUACUCAGCAUGGAGUCUGCCCCCUAAUUGCUGUCUUUACUUACAGAGUAAAUGUUUUGAAAAUAUAUACUUUCAAGUUUUGAGGUAUUUUAUUUCCUGCAUUUUGCAGACAAAGUCUUUCCAGUGUUCCUAAUGAGAUUCAUAUGCCUAUCAAUCAGAGGUUUGUAUACCUAUGGUCACUGUGAUCCAAAGCAUAAACUGGCCAAAGAUUCAUUCACAGACCAUUAAUCAGAAAUUAGAAAUAAAGAGAAUUCUCUCUGCCACAUAACAGCAAUGGAUUUUUAUUGGCUGCUAUUCAGCUAAUGGUAGAAUUAUAGUACUCUUGACAGAGAUCACCUGUCUAUCUGGCUAGAUGCAUUCUUGGUGUCUUAUAAGUUAUUUGAUUGGAGUUUUGAUGUUCUCAACUGAGAAGAGGGUAUGUAGUCAUAUCUCAACAUUUAAAGUUGACAAUUCAGUUGUUACUGGAUCAUUUGGGUAAAGAAUAGACCAAAAAAAAAAAAAAA
ensembl:lncRNA